GAAAAAAAAGCCAAAAAAAUGUAAAUGAAUCAUGUUCACAGCUAAAGAGCUGUUGCUGUAGAGCAAGACUUAAAUUUGACUUAAAUUGGUUCUUUUGUCAAGUCUAGUUCUUUUUAUUUCUUUUUAUUCCGUCUUGUCUAAGGUAAAAUCAGUUCUUUUAAAACUUUCAGAGUGAUUCAUAAAUUUGUAAAAUUGUAAACUUGUACUUAAAAGACAAAAUAUGAAAAUUAUUUAUGAGAUUAGUCUCUAAUUUACAAAAAGGACUGCAAAUAAAACUGGACUCAUUUGAUGACAGGAGUUUCACAAUAAUCUGCAUCUGAUACUAGAUGUAAAAGUGUCUAUUAUUUUCUUAUUGAACAUUUAAUCACAGAACUAAAUGUAGAAAUGUUUUCACACAGCUGUAGAUGGACCAGAUCAGUGCUGUACCAAGUUUCUGAAAGAACAAAUCCCUGUAAGCUUCAUAACAACAUAUAAAGUAACUUCAUUGUACAAAACCUGGAGUCAUCUUUACUAUACAGGACGGUCGUCAUAUGUGUGCAGAUCCCCAAGUCAUGUGGGUGAAGAAUGACAUGAACAGAAUUGACCAGCGUUUAACAGCCUGAACAAAAGGGUCGCCACAGCGAAUCAUCUCUCACCACCUAUCCCUAUCUUCUGCAUCCUGAACAC